AGAGGAAGCACGUGGAGAAGGCGGAGCCGCCCAGGUCCCCCCGGGCGUCGAUGAAUGUGGGGUACCAUUCCUUGAUGAUGUGGUCAUGUUUGUAGUCGGCCUUAUUGUCCUUUAGAUGUUCCACGGUGUUCCGCUCGCUCUUCUCAUAGGCCUCCCGGGGCUUCCGGACAGACACCUUGCAUUCUCGGACCUUGUUGACGAUGAAUUCUUGGAUGAGAAACCUGAUAUCUUCCAUGAGUCAUCAUAAAGAAGUCUGAAUAUCUUGGUUGAGAGCUAGACUUUGGAAACAGAGAGACCCUGUAUAAUAACAGACUAAGAAGUAAGGAAGACAAGCCCAGCCAGUCCCACAACUAUUUCAUUAAUACCAGGUAAAGCAACAGACCUGCCAGUGAAGCAUCUUGGAUCCUUUAGCUUUAGGCUCAUAGGUGGAAGGAACUUAUCUCAAAUGAAGUUUUGUACCAUGGACUUUUGUGUUAAUGGAGAAAUGAGUUAAGACUUUGGGUAAUUUUUGAACAGCAUGAUUGGUUUUGAAAUGUGAGGACCUGAGAUUUGGAAGAGGUCAGGGGUGGAAUGAUAUGGUUUGGCUGUGUCCCUAACCAACUCUCAUCUUGAAUUGUAGCUCCCAUAAUCUCUGUAUGUCAUGGGAGGGACCCAGUAGGAAGUAAUUGAAUCAUAAGGGCAGGUCUUUCCUGUGCUGUUCUCAUGGUAGGGAUUAAGUCCCAGAAGAUCUGAUGAUUUUGUAAAGAGCAGUUCCCAUACACAGAUUCUCUUGUGUGCCGCCGUGUAAGACAUGCCUUUGCUCCUCCUUUGCCUUCAGCCGUGGUUGUGAGACCUCCCCAGUCAUGUGGAACUGUGAGUUCAUUAAACCUCCUUUUCUUUAUAAAUUA
ensembl:lncRNA novel transcript